CCUACGAGAGGCUGCAGUGAGGAAUAUUGGUCAAUGGGCGGAAGCCUGAACCAGCCAAGUAGCGUGCAGGAUGACGGCCCUACGGGUUGUAAACUGCUUUUAUACGGGAAUAACGCGCCUUACGUGUAGGGCUUUGCAUGUACCGUAUGAAUAAGGACCGGCUAAUUCCGUGCCAGCAGAGGCGGUAAUACGGAAGGUACGGGCGUUACCCGGAUUUAUUGGGUUUAAAGGGAGCGUAGGACGCCUGUGAAGCGUUCUGGGAAAUGUACGGGCGCAACCCGGGCCUUGCAGCGCGAACUGGCGUGCUUGAGCCCUCGAAAAGCAGGCGGAAUU
rnacentral:rRNA from 1 species